UGGGGAAUAUUGGACAAUGGGCGCAAGCCUGAUCCAGCAAUGCCGCGUGGGUGAAGAAGGCCUUCGGGUUGUAAAGCUCUUUCAGCGGGGAAGAAAAGCUUGCGGUGAAUAGCUGCGAGUGUUGACGGUACCUGCAGAAGAAGCACCGGCUAACUCCGUGCCAGCAGCCGCGGUAAUACGGAGGGUGCAAGCGUUAAUCGGAAUUACUGGGCGUAAAGGGCGCGUAGGCGGCUGUUUAAGUCGGGUGUGAAAGCCCUGGGCUCAACCUGGGAAUUGCAUUCGAUACUGGAUAGCUGGAGUGUGGUAGAGGGAAGCGGAAUUCCGGGUGUAGCGGUGAAAUGCGUAGAUAUCCGGAGGAACAUCAGUGGCGAAGGCGGCUUUCUGGACCAACACUGACGCUGAGGCGCGAAAGCGUGGGGAGCAAACAGGAUUAGAUACCCCCGUAGUCC
rnacentral:rRNA from 1 species